GGAAGCCUCUUUACCACCAGGUGGACACCAAUAAUCUCUAAGAAGAUGCGAGGUACCUUAUAGUUGUAAACAAUUGUAGUAUCAGAUCUUUUAAAAAAGAACACAGCAGAGACAUCAGUUCAACGUUGGAGAAAUAGGAAAGAUUUCAUGCCAUCAAAUCAGGGAGGCUCUUGAAACAUCGCUGACGUCCUAAUCUCCUUUUUCAGGUUUUUAAACAUCUAAGAAUACCAGGUAAAUUUAUCAGUACUUAUCUGGCAAAGAAGAGAGAGGGAGAGUAUGUAUGUGCAUGGAGAGAAUAAACUCUGCAUAAGUUUUCCAGCAUCGCAUGGCAAGAGAGAGACAGAACACAAGCAGGAGACGGGCAGAGAGAGAAAGAGACACCGCCUACAAAGCAGGCUCCAGGUUCUGAGCUGUCAGCACAGAGCCCGACAUGGGGCUCCAACUCACGAACCAUGGAGAUCAUGACCUGAGCCGAAGCCAGUUGCUUAAUCGACUGAGCCACCCAGCAGGAGGAUGCUGAUUUCACCAAUGAAAUAGCUAAUAAGAGCACAAAAGCAGACAUCUCAAAAGCAUUCCAGACUCCAAAGAAAAAGAGAAUGUUCAGAAGAGGCUUCCAACCUGCUGGAAUAAAUCCCUUUGAACCUAAGAGAGGAAGAGUUCAUAUAAGCCACACUAAAAGUCAGAAUUUGUUGUUUAUCAGCAUGUUUAAUAAA